rnacentral:rRNA from 1 species
AACGAACGCUGGCGGCGCGCCUAACACAUGCAAGUCGAACGAGAAUCCGGGGCAACCCGGUAGUAAAGUGGCAAACGGGUGAGGAAUACAUGGGUAACCUACCCUUGAGAAGGGAAUAACCCGCCGAAAGGUGAGCUAAUACCCUAUACGCUAUCUUUUUUUCGAAAAGGAUAGGAAAGCCGGGUCGAGGACCUGGUACUCAAGGAGGGGCUCAUGUCCUAUCAGCUUGUUGGUGGGGUAACGGCCUACCAAGGCUACGACGGGUAGCUGGUCUGAGAGGAUGAUCAGCCACACUGGCACUGAGAUACGGGCCAGACUCCUACGGGAGGCAGCAGUGAGGAAUAUUGCGCAAUGGGCGAAAGCCUGACGCAGCGACGCCGCGUGGGGGAUGAAGGUUUUCGGAUUGUAAACCCCUUUCAUGAGGAAGAUAAAGUGGUAACCACUUAGACGGUACCUCAAGAAGAAGCCACGGCUAACUUCGUG